ACCUGCGGAGGGAUCAUUACAGAGUUCUAAAAGACUCCCAAAACCAUUGUGAACGUUACCCGUCAGCGUUGCCUCGGCGGGCGGCCCCUCCCUGGGGCCGCUGCCUCCCUCACGGGGGGUGCCCGCCGGCGUACGAAAACUCUUUUGUAUUUUAGUGGCCUCUCUGAGAAAACAAGCAAAUAAGUUAAAACUUUCAACAACGGAUCUCUUGGUUCUGGCAUCGAUGAAGAACGCAGCGAAAUGCGAUAAGUAAUGUGAAUUGCAGAAUUCAGUGAAUCAUCGAAUCUUUGAACGCACAUUGCGCCCGCUAGUACUCUAGCGGGCAUGCCUGUUCGAGCGUCAUUUCAACCCUCAAGCCCUGCUUGGUGUUGGGGUCCUACGGCUGCCGUAGGCCCUGAAAGCUAGUGGCGGGCUCGCUAUAACUCCGAGCGUAGUAGUAAAAUAUCUCGCUAGGGAGGUGUCGCGGGUUCCGGCCGUGAAAGCCCCAUCUUUUACACAAGGUUGACCUCGGAUCAGGUAGGAAUACCCGCUGAACUUAAGCAUAUCAAUAG
rnacentral:rRNA from 1 species